rnacentral:rRNA from 1 species
AUUGAACGCUGGCGGCAUGCCUUACACAUGCAAGUCGAACGGGGGUAGCAAUACCCUAGUGGCGAACGGGUGAGUAGCGCAUCGGAACGUGCCCAGUCGUGGGGGAUAACGUAGCGAAAGUUACGCUAAUACCGCAUACGAUCUGAGGAUGAAAGCGGGGGACCUUCGGGCCUCGCGCGAUUGGAGCGGCCGAUGUCGGAUUAGCUAGUUGGUGAGGUAAAAGCUCACCAAGGCGACGAUCCGUAGCUGGUCUGAGAGGAUGAUCAGCCACACUGGGACUGAGACACGGCCCAGACUCCUACGGGAGGCAGCAGUGGGGAAUUUUGGACAAUGGGGGAAACCCUGAUCCAGCCAUGCCGCGUGAGUGAAGAAGGCCUUCGGUUGU